GAGGGUGUGGCUCAGUGUUAGAGCAUUUGUCUAAUGUACAUGAAGCCCUGGGUUCAAUUCCCGGCAGCCCUCA
rnacentral:tRNA from 1 species